rnacentral:rRNA from 1 species
AUGGGGGAGCAGCCGCAGCAGGAGCCGCUCCUCGAGGUAGAACAAUGUGUCACGUCCAUACCAGAAGAUCAUGAAGCCACUUGCUGGGGCUGCGGUCUUCGGCUUGUUUUUUCAAGUUAUUCACCUGUCUAUAAGUGUGGUUGGUGUGGAGCAGUCACCCAAGGCAACCAAACUUCAAGAAAACCUGACAGUGUAUGCUUUUCUCACUGGAGGCGUUUCCGGGAUGGGUUCUUUGUGAUUGUGCUCGUCCUCUUCGUGCUCUUCGUUAUUUGUGGCGGGGUCUGGGCGGUGUAUCCAGUUGUUUUCUCAAUCAGCAUCUUCUGUGGCAUCUUUCACUGCACAGUCACAGCUCUCUUAUCUAUAUUUACAAUUGCAAGUUAUUGUUUGGCCUCUUUCAAGUCUGCUGGUGCACCACCAGGCAUACGUUGGGGAAGCUAUCCCAUGGUUGGAAAAAAUGAUCUUGAGAACUAUACUUUCUGUACAUAUUGUAGUAAACCUAAACCCCCAAGAGCACAUCACUGCCGAUCUUGUAAAACAUGUGUGGUGGACAUGGAUCAUCAUUGCCCAUUUAUUGGGAACUGUGUGGGAGCUUCAAAUCACCAAGCUUUUGUCAUUUUUCUCAUCUCUGUGGUCACGAGCUGCAGUUAUGCUGCUAUUAUGACCAUUUAUGCAAGUUAUUGUAUAUGGCCCCCUCUAGAGUUUCCAAAUGUAUCAUCAUAUGGUCAAAUGGGUUCUACGAAAGUACUGAUGGAGAUCAUUACUAGCGUGGCCAGUUCUGCAUUCUUCUUAUCAGCAAGGGGUAUAAUUCUGGUAUAUCUUGCAUUUGCCAGUCUAUCAGUUAAUGCGGGUAUAGCUGUGUUGCUGUGCCAGCAACUUAGCUUAAUAUAUGAAGGAAAUACAUAUCUUAGCCAUAUAAGCUCACCAACUGAUAUUCAUGGAGAGAGAGGAUUGCGAAAUCUUGUUCGAUUUUUUGGGUGCCCCUACCCACUUUCUAGACUAUUGUUGGGCUACACCAACACUGGCAAGUCGCAGAACAAUUCAGGCUCAAAACUUCUUUAG